rnacentral:rRNA from 1 species
GUGCAGCAGUUGCGAAAACUUGUCAAUGCACGAAAGUGUGAACGGGCUACCCCGGGUGCCGUCCGCUGAGGAUGGCUUUUCUCUGCUGUAAGAAGGCAGAGGAAUAAGGAGAGGGCAAGUCUGGUGUCAGCCGCCGCGGUAAUACCAGCUCUCCGAGUGGUAGGGAUGAUUAUUGGGCUUAAAGCGUCCGUAGCUGGCCUUUCAAGUCUCUCGUUAAAUCCAGCGAUUCAAUCGUUGGACUGCGGGAGAUACUGUUAGGCUAGGGGGCGGGAGAAGCCGACGGUAUUUCCGGGGUAGGGGUAAAAUCCUAUAAUCCUAGGAGGAACACCAGUGGCGAAGGCGGUCGACUAGAACGUGCCCGACGGUGAUGGACGAAAGCUGGGGGAGCGAACCGGAUUAGACACCCCCGUAGUCC